CUGCCCCUCAAGCACGGCUUGUGUGUUGGGCCGCCGCCCCCCUCGGGGGACGGGCCCGAAAGGCAGCGGCGGUGCCGCGUUCCGGUCCUUGAGCGUAUGGGGCUCUGUCACCCGCUCUGGAGGUCCGGCCGGUGCCUGCCCACCCGUCAAUCGUCUUCCAA
rnacentral:misc_RNA from 1 species